UGGGGAAUUUUCCGCAAUGGGCGAAAGCCUGACGGAGCAAUACCGCGUGAGGGAGGACGGCUUUUGGGUUGUAAACCUCUUUUAUCAGGGAAGAAUCGAUGACGGUACCUGAUGAAUCAGCAUCGGCUAACUCCGUGCCAGCAGCCGCGGUAAUACGGAGGAUGCAAGCGUUAUCCGGAAUUAUUGGGCGUAAAGCGUCCGUAGGUGGUUUAUCAAGUCUGCUGUCAAAGCGUGCGGCUUAACCGCAUAAGGGCAGUGGAAACUGAUGAACUAGAGUGCGAUAGGGGUAACAGGAAUUCCCAGUGUAGCGGUGAAAUGCGUAGAUAUUGGGAAGAACACCAGCGGCGAAAGCGUGUUACUGGGUCUGCACUGACACUGAGGGACGAAAGCU
rnacentral:rRNA from 1 species